AGAUAAAACCGUUAAAGUAGGCUCACAGUGAUAGAGAAAAAUACCAAAUACAUGGUUCACUGGGAUGAACGUUUUCAACGUCUGGAUCACGUUGUGAAAGGUGAGUUCUUUUCCAUCUAUCCUUAGUAUCCAACCCUAUGAAGAAACAUCUGGUAAUCCGGAGCUACCCACCCGGCUUUUCAAAAGCGAUAAAUUUCUACUAUUGUUCCUCUGCGUCCCCCGCCGGGGGCGAGGUCGGUAGAAAUCUCUGGGUGUGGAAGGGGAAGUUAAGGCGAGACUGAGGGUCAAAUGCCAUCUUUUAUCAUGGUUCCAAUAUGUGUGGCCGAUAAGCUGACUAAUUAACAGUAACUACUUUCACCCAGUCUCCAGCGGCAUAUUUGAGUAACAGUCGGACAUAUAUGGUCUCAGUAAGUCCUUGAUGCUGUAUUCUAUUCGUGUAUGUUUGCCUGGGGGAAAGUUUAGAAAUCUUCUUUGCGAAUCUUCUUAUCCUUACUGCGUAUCACUGCCUCGUAUGAUUGUACUGUCAGAUCGCCUUCUGCAAGUUGUCCUCUAUGUAUUUACUAUUUGCAUCGUUAGUGACAACAUGAAAGACGCCUCGGAAAAAGCAAUAUACAUAGUUAAAUACCAUUCCGCAAUGAUCUGCCACAGACGGAGUAUAUGCACGUAUAUGGAAUCGGU